AAGUCGUAACAAGGUUUCCGUAGGUGAACCUGCGGAAGGAUCAUUAAAAAGCUUGCGAGGGGGCUUUGCCUCCAACGCAUCCAUCCUAUGACUAUAUACCUAGUUGCUUUGGCGGCGCCUGGGCGUAACGCCCCGGUGGCUUUAACCACCGAGUGCCCGCCAGAGGUCAAUCAAACUCUUGUUUAAACACUGCCGUCCGAUACACAAAACAAUAGCUAAAA
rnacentral:misc_RNA from 1 species